CAGGACUUCAUGAGAAAAAUGCUCAGGGUUCGGUUAUGUACAAGUGAUCACUCCAGAUGAUAUGAAGUGUUGGUUGGUGGCUUGGGGACGGCAGUCGCCAGUAGUUAGAGCAAUAGUUAGAGGACCAAUUAUGUGAACUAUUCAGAAAAUCACAAAAACAUUGUGAAAUAUUUAGAUUGAAAACACUACAACAUUUGCUGUGGAGAAACAGGACUUUGUGGAUUUAUGAAUGGAAAUGAGAUAAUCUGGAUUCUUACAAGAUAGCAGAAAGUAUGAGCAAUGGUUUCACAGACCCAGAUUCUAAUGAACCAUGGCAGUGUCACAGUGCAGCAGCAUUUUACAAAUAAAGGGACCUGACACAAAGAAACAAGAUCUUAGUAAAUUAACACGACCUGCCAAGUGUGCCAGUUACUCCUGAUUCAUGGAAAGAAAAUGCGGCAAGAGGCAAGGCAUGCUACCAGAGAUCUCUAGCUGAAACAAGGAGUCAGGGAUACAAGUUUCUACUAAUAAUGACUUGAAAACCCCUGUCUUCAUUUACUCUCAAGUAUUUGAAAAUCCUGUGUUCAUCAAAUAGAAUAAAACUGGCUCCGUGAGUUGACUCUGGAGUGAA